AGGAAUAUUGGGAAUGGAGGAAGUCUGCCCSCAUCCUGGUGAGGAUGMUCCCGUAUGGGUUGUAAAUUGUUUUUAUACAGGAAGAAACCAUUUAUGUGUAGGGUGUUGCGGUAAUGUAAGAAUAAGCCUGGUAAGYCGUGCCACCAGCGGAGGUAAUAGGGAGGGUGAAGCGUUUAUCUGGAAUGAUUGGGUUUAAAGGGUCGGUAGGCGGAUUAAUAAGUGAGAGGUGAAAYCCGMCAGAUUAAAUGUGGAAUUGCGUUUGAUAUUGUUAGUAUUGAGUUAUGUGGAAGUAGAUAGAAUGUGUAGUGUAGGGGUGAAAUGGUUAGAGAUUAGAAGAAUACUGAUUGGGAAGGCAGUUUAUAUGUAUAUACUGAGGCUAAUGGAGGAAAGGGUGGGGAGGGACAAGGAUUAGAACCUUGGUAGUCAGGCGGUAAAGGAUGAGCACUAGUUGUUGGGGUACAUCAGUGCAUAGACGAAAGUGAUAGAUGUCCCAC
rnacentral:rRNA from 1 species